UUCCCUACGGGGCGCAGCAGUGGGGAAUAUUGCACAAUGGGGGAAACCCUGAUGCAGCGACGCCGCGUGAGCGAAGAAGUAUUUCGGUAUGUAAAGCUCUAUCAGCAGGGAAGAAGAUGACGGUACCUGACUAAGAAGCUCCGGCUAAAUACGUGCCAGCAGCCGCGGUAAUACGUAUGGAGCAAGCGUUAUCCGGAUUUACUGGGUGUAAAGGGAGCGCAGGCGGCGCGGCAAGUCUGGUGUGAAAGGCGGGGGCUCAACCCCCGGACUGCAUUGGAAACUGUCGCGCUGGAGUGUCGGAGGGG
rnacentral:rRNA from 1 species